rnacentral:rRNA from 1 species
ACGGACUUCGGUCUGGUGGCGAGUGGCGAACGGGUGAGUAAUGUAUCGGAACGUACCUUUCAGUGGGGGAUAACGUAGCGAAAGUUACGCUAAUACCGCAUAUUCUGUGAGCAGGAAAGCAGGGGAUCGAAAGACCUUGCGCUGAUUGAGCGGCCGAUAUCAGAUUAGCUAGUUGGUGGGGUAAAGGCCUACCAAGGCGACGAUCUGUAGCGGGUCUGAGAGGAUGAUCCGCCACACUGGAACUGAGACACGGUCCAGACUCCUACGGGAGGCAGCAGUGGGGAACUUUGGACAAUGGGGGCAACCCUGAUCCAGCCAUGCCGCGUGAGUGAAGAAGGCCUUCGGGUUGUAAAGCUCUUUCGGCCGGGAAGAAAUCGCAUAGGCUAAUACCCUGUGUGGAUGACGGUACCGGAAUAAGAAGCACCGGCUAACUACGUGCCAGCAGCCGCGGUAAUACGUAGGGUGCGAGCGUUAAUCGGAAUUACUGGGCGUAAAGCGUGCGCAGGCGGUUUCGUAAGACAGAGGUGAAAUCCCCGGGCUCAACCUGGGAACUGCCUUUGUGACUGCGAGGCUAGAGUAC